UAUGAAAUACCAUUGGAGAAAACGGCAUUCAAAAGUCAAAACACGUGAAUGCCAUUUGUGGGAGGACGAGCGGCGAGAGAAGAUAGUGUGACCCCGCUCCUGCAAUUCCAAGUAACUUCCCGGAUUCCACCAGUGAUGGAGCCCCAUGAGAACAUGUCAGUGUCCAUCAGAUUUUGGGGAAGUGUUACCAAGGAUGUAUUUGGUGGCCAAGCAUGGGCAACUCAGGAAGAUCAAGCAGUGCCUGGUGGAAAGCCAUGACAUGAGUGCUUGUGACGAGGACAGUUGCAGCCUGCUGGCCAGCGUGAGCAUUACCAACCAUCUUGAAGUGGUGCGCUUCCUCUGCCGCUUCCCACAACUCCACUGCAAUGUGACAGAUUAACUGAUAUGGGGACUUGCCUCUCAUGCCAUUGCCAGGAUGGGACACAGGGAGGAGGUGGUGGAGGACCUACUCAUGUGUCCACACCUGUGUCAUCUGAAUGUUGAUACCCAGACCAGCUAUGAGCAGAGCAUUGUCAUCGCCAGCAGUAGUAAGAUUGCCAAGUUGUUCUAGAAUAUUCAGCUGCCCAAAGGUCAGUGGCAUCCCAACCUUUGUCACACCUUGGUGCCUGCCAGGAUGUCUGUGACUGAGAAAUGACCUUACAUUGCCUUGCUAAUCCUUGGUGCUGAGCUUGCUGGUGCAGGUCAGGUCGGCCAGCCAAGUGGAGGGGGCGGCAGCGUUUAUUCUGAAAAUGGCCAUUAUUCCUGGGGACUUGGACUGGAUUACAUGUCCUUUGGUCUAAGAUGCCUGUCAACAAGGCCAGUGUCUCCAGCUGCUGAUCGGACCACAGUUCCUUUGGCAGCUGGAAGCCACUUUCGUCAUUCUCUCUAGUGGUGAGCUUGGGAGUUUCCUGGGCAGGCAGGAUGCUGGUCCAACUGGUACAGGGAAACUGCUGGGAUUCUUUUUCACCCCCCAUCACAAGGCUGUUGAGGAAGAGACAAGAAUGCAGGAAUUAGUGUAACCAUCCAUGAAAAUGUAUAUUCCUGAAAUUUAUAAAGAGGCUUUGAAAUAAA